rnacentral:lncRNA from 1 species
AUAGUCCCCUAAAAAGUUCUUAAAACACAACUCAAAACACAAACUCAUUAAUUUACUUCUUCAAAUUCUAGAUGCAUACUGCUGUCAGUCAUUCCAACAACUCAACAAGUUGACUUAGCAGCUCAGUCAUUUUCCAUCCAUUAGAUUUUCAUGCUGUCGAAAGCCUAAACUCAUGUUUGAAGCACACAUAUUGUGCUUGUUUAUAGUGGAAUAAAAAUGUGCCGAGAUAAGCCAUAGGAUCUUUUCUGAAUCUUGCAGUUUGGUGGUGUAACCUGCAACAGCAUGUUUGUUGUUAUGGCUGUUUCUACUUCUGUUUAAGAGGCAACCCAGCUGAGGCUGAGGGAUAGGUAGAGUUUAUUUCUCAUAAGUAAAUUUGUAAAUAACAUAGAGAAAUUUGUCCCAUCGCUACUUAUAGUUUCAGUGACAUGAAGAGUGUGAAGUGAAUAACCUGCAAUGUACAUGUACCAGAUCUGUACAUGAAUAUAUGUACAUGAGUGCAGACAUAUCUGCAAACACGAAGGUUAUGAAUUUCGUUCUUGUGUUCAAUGGAGUUAGUGCUGGUUGCAGCUACUGGCCUUUUGUGACGUCUUGAUAUCAGUUUGGAAUAAUAGCUGGACUCUGGGGAAUCCUCACUCACACUCGAGGCGUCGUGCUGCUGUUACUACUUACUAGUAGUUACCAACGGCAUUCCUCUCUUAUUAUAAUCAGUUUGAAUCACUCCAGAUUAUUACACCAAACUUAUGCUGCCCCAAGUUAAUACACCAAAUCCCCGAAGUAUUAUUCGUCCCCGAGCUACGCUACCAAGGGGUCAAGUACUACACCGAGGCUCUGAAGUACUACAUAAUCAAGGCACCGGAGUACUACACAACUACGUAUGCUGCCCCAGCUUACUACACCGAGGCUCCCAAGUACUACACCACCAUGGCACUGUUGUACUGCACAACUACAUAUCAUGGUCGUAUAUAAUGGGAAAUAAAUCAGUCGAGUGUGCAUCUCCGAUACGGCAACAGCAACUGCAGUGCUAAGGCUCAGACUAUUACACCACUACUUAUGUUGCCCCGAAAUACUACACCAAAGCGCCUGAGUACAAUACCGAGGCCACUAAUUACUACACCACCAGGGCACCGCAGUACUACAUCACUACACAUCAUGGUCGUAUUAAAGGAGAGAAAAGGUGACGAGUGAGCAACUCCGUUACAGCAACUGCCAUGCACUAUUCAUUCUUGAAUAGUCACCAAUUUCAUUCUUCGUCGCAUUACAAGUUUUAAUAAAGUAAACUAUGGCGUCGUGCUGAAGUUGGGUGUCGUAUCGUUGAUGGCUGGGUCGACCACUGGUGUACCGAUGUUUCCUGGGUAUGGCGGGUACCAAAGCACAACACUGCCGUGCCGUGCAUCCGUUUAUUAUUUCGUGAUCUGUCGUAGUGUAAUGCAAAUGCUCAGUUCUCAACCGGUUUUCCAUCAUGUUUAACAAACUCGAUACUAUUAAAAAUGAUUGCUCUUGGCCGUAAUUUUUCCAUCGGCACUCUCUACAAUCACAUUGAAGACGUCAUUGUACCCAUGCUGGACUUUGAAGGACGUCGGCGAGCAGUACCAAGCCUGCAGGAAAGUCAUGGAUCACCUGGCCAGCACGGCCAUCCCGUUGAGAGUGUGGUUGUACCCUCUUAGAGGGAAAUUGCUCGUUAAAUUGUUGAAAAAGUUGCACCCUUUGAACUCAUUUCUCCAGAAAUUCUUUAUGGACAUUUUUAUUUGGUAGAGCGAACAAGCCCAAGGAAUAUCGAAUUAAUACCACAGGCCCAAUACUAAAAAGUUUCAUAAUCUAUAGAUAACAAAUCAUCUAUAUUUUUUAUUGGAUUGGUUAUAAAUUAA